rnacentral:tRNA from 1 species
GGGCGAUUAGCUCAGUUGGUUAGAGCGCUUGCGUGACAUGCAAGAGGUCACAAGUUCAAAUCUUGUAUCGCCCA